ensembl:lncRNA
GUAAGCUGAACUAAGGGUUUACAGAGAGGUAAUUGAUAAUCAGGUGAGCUGAACUAAGGGUUUACAGAGAGGUAAUUGAUAAUCAGGUGAGCUGAACUAAGGGUUUACAGAGAGGUAAUUGAUAAUCAGGUGAGUUGAACUAAGGGUUUACAGAGAGGUAAUUGAUAAUCAGGUGAGGGUUUACAGAGAGGUAAUUGCUAAUCAGGUGAGCUGAACUUUCACAGCAACAGUAAACACCUGAAAGUAGCCUAAUUAUUUAACAAGCCCUUUGGUUUGGGAGUGAACAUUCUCCAUAGCUGAAGAGAGAGAAGACUGUAAGAGGCUCAUAUGGGAUUCUAGGUCAUCUCUGAUGUAUGACAGGAUUGAAAACAACACCAUCUCUGAUGUAUGACAGGAUUGAAAACAACACCAUCUCUGAUGUAUGACAGGAUUGAAAACAACACCAUCUCUG